AGAACGAACGCUGGCGGCAGGCUUAACACAUGCAAGUCGAACGCCCCGCAAGGGGAGUGGCGGACGGGUGAGUAACGCGUGGGAAUCUACCCUGGGGUACGGAAUAACCGCGGGAAACUGCGGCUAAUACCGCAUACGCUCUCCAGUUCUGCUGGAGAGGAAAGAUUUAUCGCCCUGGGAUGAGCCCGCGUCCGAUUAGGUAGUUGGCGGGGUAACGGCCCACCAAGCCUGCGAUCGGUAGCUGGUCUGAGAGGAUGGUCAGCCACACUGGGACUGCGACACGGCCCAGACUCCUACGGGAGGCAGCAGUGGGGAAUAUUGGACAAUGGGGGAAACCCUGAUCCAGCCAUGCCGCGUGCGUGAUGAAGGCCUUAGGGUUGUAAAGCGCUUUCGGCGGGGACGAUGAUGACGGUACCCGCAGAAGAAGCCCCGGCUAACUUCGUGCCAGCAGCCGCGGUAAUACGAAGGGGGCUAGCGUUGUUCGGAAUUACUGGGCGUAAAGGGCGCGUAGGCUGCCCUGCAAGUCGGAGGUGAAAGUCCUGGGCUCAACCUGGGGAUUGCCUUCGAGACUGCGGGGCUGGAGACCGGGAGAGGGUAGCGGAAUUCCCAGUGUAGAGGUGAAAUUCGUAGAUAUUGGGAAGAACACCAGUGGCGAAGGCGGCUACCUGGACCGGUUCUGACGCUGAGGCGCGAAAGCGUGGGGAGCAAACAGGAUUAGAUACCCUGGUAGUCCACGCCGUAAACGAUGAGUGCUAGACGUCGGGGGGUUGCCUCUCGGUGUCGCAGCUAACGCACUAAGCACUCCGC
rnacentral:rRNA from 1 species